rnacentral:rRNA from 1 species
ACAUCCAGAGAAUUUAGCAGAGAUGCUUUAGUGCCUUCGGGAACUCUGAGACAGGUGCUGCAUGGCUGUCGUCAGCUCGUGUUGUGAAAUGUUGGGUUAAGUCCCGNAACGAGCGCAACCCCUAUCCUUUGUUGCCAGCGAUUCGGUCGGGAACUCAAAGGAGACUGCCGGUGAUAAACCGGAGGAAGGUGGGGAUGACGUCAAGUCAUCAUGGCCCUUACGAGUAGGGCUACACACGUGCUACAAUGGCGCAUACAAAGAGAAGCGACCUCGCGAGAGCAAGCGGACCUCAUAAAGUGCGUCGUAGUCCGGAUUGGAGUCUGCAACUCGACUCCAUGAAGUCGGAAUCGCUAGUAAUCGUAGAUCAGAAUGCUACGGUGAAUACGUUCCCGGGCCUUGUACACACCGCCCGUCACACCAUGGGAGUGGGUUGCAAAAGAAGUAGAUAGCUUAACCUUCGGGAGGGCGUUUACCACUUUGUGAUUCAUGACUGGGGUGAAGUCGUAACAAGGUAGGCGUACGUGU